GUGUUGCUGUUGACGUGUUGCUGUUGACGUGUUGCUGUUGACGUGUUGCUGUUGACGUGUUGUUGUUGACGUGUUGUCUGUGGCGUUGCAGGAGUUCUUCCACUACUCCGUCGGCAGCGUCCUCGUCUUCAUCGCCUCCAUCGCGGCGGCCGUGAAGAGCGGCGGCGUCUCGGCGCUGGUGGCCGGGUCGGUGUUUGGGUUCAUAGCGACGUUCCUGAUGGCCGUAAGUUUGUGGACGUCCUACAGCGUGACCUGCGGCUCUCAUCAGACCGGUGCAGCAGUUUAAUCAGCCCCCCCGUCAUGAAGAACCAGACCGGUUGCGUUGGCAGUUUGUUGAGUCCGGCUGUGUCAAGUUUUCUGCCUAGCAACCGCCUGGACACUCAACCUGAUUGGAUAAUACUUUAAACGCCCGACGUAAUGGAACAUGUGACCCAGGACCAGAACAGUCUGAAAUGUAAAAAUCAUCCCGUUAAAGGACAGUAGUUAAGGUAUUACUCAGAUUACUCUCCCUCCUUAGAUGUCUACACGUUAACGGUGCUCAGUGACAUUUCAGUAGAAUCCGCGAAAGACAUCGCGACUACUUCCUGUCCUGACUUCCCCUCGGUCACUGCCCAAUGAGAGGAGAGUGCAGACUUGAGUCGCGCAUGCGUCACUAUGCGACAAGUAGUUAGCAUCUGCAUAUACGAUGCUAACGAGAGACUUCCGUAAUGUUUGAAGUAGCCUCCGAGAUGCUAACGAGAGACUUCUGUAGCGUCUGAAGUAGCCUCCGAGAUGCUAACGAGAGACUUCUGUAGCGUCUGAAGUAGCCUCCGAGAUGCUA